CUCGCGUUCCCGCCAAAAAGUCAAGUACACUUAAAAAACACUUUGCAUAGAUAACACACUUAACAGAGAAAAACUUUAUUUUCCUACGGCAGUCAAGAGUCGGGUAAAAACCAUCAAAUCGUAACAAUAUUACCUACAAAAGUAGGUACAUAAUCUUAAGCUGUACACGAAUAUAAUUAAACGAAAAACGUAUUACGUAUCAGUAAAAUCAGUAAACAUAACCUAUAAACAUACUAUAUUAAAAUAAUAUCAUUAAUCGAAAUGAACACGAAAUCUACGGACAAAACAGCUAUAACUCUAAAAUUAUCAUUCACGUCCAAUGAUAAUGCUUCUCUUGUCUACGAUGUACUAAAUGUUGACAAGGAAUUAAAAGGAAGUGGUGUACAUAGAGAAUUUCAAUUAAAGUCUAAUGUUCUCUACAUAGAAUUUAAAAGCUUAGAUUUAAAACGCCUAAGAGUAGCUGUGAAUGCGAUCCUAAAAAAUAUACUUCUUAUCACAAAAACUGUGGAAAACUUUGCAACAAAAUAACCAGCAAUGCCUGAACACACACCAGCACCGACACCAUCAAGAUCUUUAUAUGGCUUCUUUCUGUACUUAUUUAGCAAAACAACCCUAACAAUGUUUUGUAUUUGGGCUUUUACACCAGAUAGUUUUCUACAUUAUUUUAACAUUUGUUACUAUCCACAAAAAUACUGGUCAACAGCACUACCAAUACAAUUUCUGGUAGCAUUAACUGUAUUUGCUUUUCUGAUUUAUCCAAGUAUUAACAUGAUACUUACUCCACAUAUUGAUAGUCCAAACACUUUUCAAGAUAAGUUUUCUGAUUUUACAGGUAAAGCAAAUGAUAAAACUUUUUCCUCAAAUGGUUGUAUUUGUCAGGAUAGUAAUAAUUGUGAAUAUAAAAGUUAUGUUGAUUCUAAAGAAAAUGCUGUGCCCCAUUUAAUAGAUAUAGAUAUAAAAAGUGUUUGUAAAAAGCUAUAUUAUGUAAAGAAAUAAAUAAGACUGAAUUUUAUUAGUCUUUCUAGCAUU